GAUGGCCCUAGUACGCGAGUGAGCGCACAGUCUAUUGAUCGGCUCUCGUCCCGAGUGUAUGUAGAGAUGCUUGAUGCCGUGCUCGAGUACCUGAACGGACGCAUAGAGGGUGAGAGCCCCGUCUGUGAUGCCAAAUCUCUGUAAAGCUCCUUCGACGAGUCGAGUAGUUUGGGGAAUGCUGCUCUAAAUGGGAGGUAUAUGUCUUCUAAAGCUAAAUACCGGCCAGAGACCGAUAGCGCACAAGUAGAGUGAUCGAAAGAUGAAAAGCACUUUGAAAAGAGAGUUAAAAAGUACGUGAAAUUGUUGAAAGGGAAGCGUUUAUGACCAGACUUGGGCUUGGUUAAUCAUCUGGGGUUCUCCCCAGUGCACUUUUCCAGUCCAGGCCAGCAUCAGUUUUCGCCGGGGGAUAAAGGCUUCGGGAAUGUGGCUCUCUCCGGGGAGUGUUAUAGCCCGUUGCGUAAUACCCUGGCGGGGACUGAGGUUCGCGCAUCUGCAAGGAUGCUGGCGUAAUGGUCAUCAACGACCCGUCUUGAAACACGGACCAAGGAGUCGUCUUCGUAUGCGAGUGUUCGGGUGUCAAACCCCUACGCGUAAUGAAAGUGAACGCAGGUGAGAGCUUCGGCGCAUCAUCGACCGAUCCUGAUGUUCUCGGAUGGAUUUGAGUAAGAGCAUACGGGGCCGGACCCGAAAGAAGGUGAACUAUGCCUGUGUAGGGUGAAGCCAGAGGAAACUCUGGUGGAGGCUCGCAGCGGUUCUGACGUGCAAAUCGAUCGUCAAACAUGGGCAUGGGGGCGAAAGACUAAUCGAACCUUCUAGUAGCUGGUUUCCGCCGAAGUUUCCCUCAGGAUAGCAGUGUUGAACUCAGUUUUAUGAGGUAAAGCGAAUGAUUAGGGACUCGGGGGCGCUAUUUAGCCUUCAUCCAUUCUCAAACUUUAAAUAUGUAAGAAGCUCUUGUUGCUUAAUUGAACGUGAGCAUUCGAAUGUAUCAACACUAGUGGGCCAUUUUUGGUAAGCAGAACUGGCGAUGCGGGAUGAACCGAACGCGAGGUUAAGGUGCCAGAGUAGACGCUCAUCAGACACCACAAAAGGUGUUCGUACAUCUCGACAGCAGGACGUUGCCGCAUGCAAGCCGGAAUCCGCUAAGGAAUGUUACAAUUCCCCUUUCAUU
rnacentral:rRNA from 1 species